ACUCCUACGGGAGGCAGCAGUGGGGAAUAUUGCGCAAUGGGCGAAAGCCUGACGCAGCAAUGCCGCGUGAGUGAGGAAGGCCUUCGGGUUGUAAAGCUCUGUCAUAUGGAAAGAAUGGUCAUUGUUCUAACAGGGCAGUGAUUUGACGGUACCAUAAAAGGAAGCACCGGCUAACUUCGUGCCAGCAGCCGCGGUAAUACGAAGGGUGCAAGCGUUGUUCGGAUUUAUUGGGCGUAAAGCGCGCGCAGGCGGACUAUUAAGCCAGAUGUGAAAUCUCGGGGCUCAACCCCGAACCUGCAG
rnacentral:rRNA from 1 species